CCCCUUCCUCUUCUUCUUCUUUUCCUCCCCCCACCCACGCAAAAUCCCCUCUUCCCUCUCCUUCUUCUUCCUCUUGUUGUACAGUCGCAAGUCCUUCUAGUUGUCGUUAAUUGGGUGGAGUGGGAGCUCGCCGUGGCUGGCUCGGGGUGUCCACGCCGCGCACUUUAAGAGAAGGAGGGGAGGGGGGCGGGGGCUCCCGUGACGUCACCGCGCACUUUAUUAACUGCAGCGAGUGAGUGAGGGUCUCUUGAUGAACAUCACGAGAAAGUGGGCUGCACGCGCGCGGCGUGGAUGACUUGAGAGGAGAACCCACUCGCUCCUUUCACGUACGCUUGGUUCUUAAUGCCCCCCCCCCCCCCGCUCUCCCCACCUGCGUGUUGUUGGGUCACCCGCGAGCCCGCCGCAGUGUUUGUUUGUUUGUUUGACGGUGGCUCAAUCAAUGUGCGUCUUUUGAGCAACUUUUGUUUGGGUGCAAACGCAUAAACAUACAAAUUAACAACGGGUGCAACUUUGUCCCUCGCUAACUUUUGAAGCUACGAUAUCGACGUCCGUGAGACGAGUUUUAGUUUUCGUUAUUGCACGGUUGCGUGCUGGAAUGCGGAUCGAGGGUGGGUGGUGGUCUGCACGGUGAGCAGGCUGCAAUCGAGUGCGCUCACGAGGGUUUAAAAUGUUUCCAGACUAUUUUUUAAAUGCAUUUGUUCAUAACUUUUACGGACAGAAUCUCUAGGUGCAGCCGAGUCUGCUUUUUGCACUUGAUGUGGUUCUGUUGGCUCGGGAGAGGAGGCGGCUGGGGCAUCGGAACCGGAUGCCUCCUGGGUGAGGUGGGCCGGGAAGAGACCCCGGCCCCGGCGGGGACCACCCUGGAUUUGCCGGAGGGUCUACGGAUAAGUCGCUCGCGAAGCCAAUUUUUAUGUUGUAAAAGAAUGAUUCUUUUCUACAUUUAAAAGUUACAUUUUAAAAAUGCAUUAAUUUCUAAAAUAAUUCAAUAGAUUUUUAUUGUAAAACGACCCUCUUUAGUUUUAAAACAUUCAAACGAAUCAUGUAAACAUAUUUUCUAUUUUUGAAUGUGAUGAAAAAAAAGAAACAUUUUUAUUGUUUGUUUUGGCAUCUCGGCUAUGACGGCGAUGCCUUCUUGGUGCACUUUUCUUAUUCUCGAGGGGCCUCUCGACGGGCAGAGCACGUCACGCGUGGAGUGAGGAGCGCAAGUGGGACGCCUGCAUGCGCGCGACUCCUUCAACACGUGGGAGGAGAACCCACUCGUGCUCGUGCACGCCUCCUCGCACUUCUUGCAGCCCCGCCCCUCCACUCUCCCACGCCACGCCCACAAGGUGUUCUCGGUCCACUUGCUCCCCCCGCCGGUUGUCAACAAAAAAAAGAAUAUUUUCUGGGAGGGGGCUACCGAUCUGCAGCGUGAGCUGGGCACCGGCCCGCCCAUCCCGGGGGACAGAAGUUGCUUCUGGGGACGCCGAACUCUGGUGGAGAAAGAUGAGUUCUCUGGAGAGGGGUUGGAUUCUGUUCUACGCUGGAGUUGCCCACGGUCAGGGGGCUACUUGUUGCUCCGCCCCCGGCUCAGCACCGGUACGUUGGGGUUCACCCCAGUGGACCAGAAGGAAAACUCCCUCCGGCUUCAGAGUUCUUGGAAGAGGCGAGGAGAGACCCCACCCCCCUCCUCCCCGCUGGGGACUUCUUUGUUCUCCUGGGGGAUUUCAAUGCUCAUGUGGGCAAUGACAGUGAGAGCUGGAAGACCGUGAACAAGAAGAACCCCCACCCGAGCGGGGUUUUGUUUUGGAACUUUUGUGCCGGUCACUGGUUACGUAUGUUCUAUGAUCACCUCUGUUCAGAUACGUUGGCGUCCACACGUGCACCUGGAACCAGGACCCCCGAGUUCACAAUUCGAUGACAGACUUUGUGAUCGUGUUUUCGGACUCGGGUGAAGACUCCGGCUGAGCUGUCAACUGAUUACCAACUGGUGGCGAGUUGGCUCCGAUGUCGGGGCAAGAUGCCGGUCCGACCUGGCGGGCCCGAACGUGUCGUGAGGAUCUGCUGGGAACAUCUGUCAGAAUCCUAUCAGAAGGAGUAUCAACUCCCACCUCCGAUAGAACUUUGCUCAUAUUCCGGGGGAGUCCGGGUGGACCGUGUUGCGUGCCUCAGACCGGAGUUGUGACCGUAAGGUGGUCGGCGCCUGUCAUGGUGGCGACCCCAUUGGUGGACGCCAACGGCGAGGGAUGCCGUCAAGCUGAAGAAGGAGUCCUAUCGGGACUUUUUGGCCUGCGGGACUCGUGAGGCAUCUGAAGGGCACCGGUUGGCCAAGCGGGACUCAAGCAAAAACAAAAAAAAAAAAAACUCAGGCACAGGAGGAGUUUGAUGAGGCCCUAGAGAAAGACUUCAAGAUGGUUUCCAGGAAAUUCUUCAGGAGAGGGAAGCACUGCACCAUCAAGACUAAAGUGAGGAUGCAGAGUCUGGGUUCUCCGAAGCUGGCUCUCCUAUCUCUGGGGUUGAGGUUUAAGGUUUAAAAAGUCCCUCAGUGGCAGAAACCCAGGGGUGGAUGAGAUUUGCUUGGAGUUCGGAAAGGCUCCGGAUGUUGCGGGGCUGUCCUGGUGGACACGUCUCUGCGACAUCAAGUGGACAUCGUGGACAGGGCCCUGGAUUGGCAGAGCGAGGUGGUAGUCCCCCAAAGGGAGACCAGGGGGUGUGUUCCAACUAGAGGUGGAUCACACUCCUCAGUCUUCCCGGUAAGGUUUUUUCAGGGGUGCUGGAGAGGAGGGUCCGUCGUGAAGUCCGAUCUCGGAUUCAGGAGGAGCAAUGUGGUUUUCGUCCUGACCGUGUAACAGUGGACCAGGUCUCCACCCUCGGCGGGGGUCCUCGGAGUUCGCCGACCAGUCUACACGUGUUUUGUGGACUUGGAAAAGGCGUCCGAACGGGUCCCUCAGGGAGUCCUGUAUUAGGGCGGGAGGGAUUUUCAUAAAUUAAUGACAAUUUUAUACAAAACAAAUAAAUAAAUAACUUUGACUGUCGUAACAUAUAACCUGAAAACCAUAAAACCAAUUUCUUUGUGGCAAAAAUAUGAAAAAGAUAGCUGGAAAUGUUUUGUUUUAUUUACGCACAGCAAUCAGUUCCAGCGCAACAAAGAAGUGUAAUCAUAAAUGCGGCGAAUCUUAACGCUAAAAUUAAUUGUCAGAGGUGAGUAAUUAACGCUUGUCUGAAUUUGAUGACGUCAGACUUCAUGAGAGGAUCUCGCUUAUAUGCAAAUCCUCCAAAUGUCCAAUUACAAAUUCAAGUGUUGUUUCCAUAUUGCCAAAUUACCAAUUUCUAUACCGAUAUGAACAAAACAAUCUAUUUUCAAAAUGCGAUAUUUCCAUUUUGUUGAAUUCACCAAUUACAAUUUAACAUUUUUCAACUAUCUAUAAUAUGAAACUGACGUUGGCAUUUAAAAAAACUGCGACUGUCCCUCAGAUUUAUGGAUCACAACAAAUCAAUUUUUUUCCUAAAAAAAAGUUUUUGCCAUGAAUAAACAACUGAUAAAAGAUUUCAAUCAUUUAAAUACUUCUGAAUUCAAUUAUAAAUUAAUUUUAAAAUAUAAAAUGUAUAUUUUGUCAGCCGCAAGAAAAUAGCUCAAAACUAGAAUCUUGAAAAAAAAAUGAUAAAAUUGAUUGUAGCAUUCAUUAUGAAUUUUGAAUAAAUAAAGUGGGUUUUUGUAUUGUCUGCUGAGGAAAAAAUAUAGAAAUACUUUACAUAAAUACAAUUAUCAAAUAAAUUGCUUAGUUUUUUUAAUUUCAGACGCUAAAAACUGCCGUGCUAAAAAAUGUUCACAAUUCAACUUUUUCAUGCUUCGAAUGAAUGAAUAAAAAAUGUAUCUUUUAAAACAUUGUACUUUAGUUAUAUUUAUGUUUUUGUUUUUUUUUCUUAAAGGGGAUAAAAAGGUCAUAAUAAUAGUGACGUCACAUCAGGAUGGUUGCAAAAAGUCAAAAUACUGGUGGUCCUUUUCCGCCCCCUGGCGGAAGGACAGCGCCUGAAGGGUUUGUGAGGUUUUCAAAAAGAGGGUAUUAGGACGCCAUCUAGCGGACAAACAGCGCUCCCGCCGGACAAAGAAUUAGGAACACCACUUUGGUUUUCCAAGU